rnacentral:rRNA from 1 species
ACUAAGCGCACGCGGUGGAUGCCUAGGCGGUAGGAGGCGAUGAAGGACGUAUAAGCCUGCGAUAAGCUUCGGGGAGGUGGCAAUAGACCUUUGAUCCGGAGAUUUCCGAAUGGGGAAACCCGGCCACUUCGGUGGUCAUCCUUAUCUGAAUUCAUAGGGUAAGGAAGCAAACCCGGGGAACUGAAACAUCUAAGUACCCGGAGGAAGAGAAAUCAACCGAGAUUCCCUAAGUAGCGGCGAGCGAACGGGGAACAGCCCAGUUACCAUCAAGCUGUGAAACCUAGUAAAACGGUCUGGAAAGUCCGGCCAUAGAAGGUGAUAGCCCUGUAUGCGAAAGGUGGAUCAGUGGGGUAACGAUGAGUAGGACGGGGCACGUGAAACCUUGUCUGAACAUGGGGGGACCAUCCUCCAAGGCUAAAUACUCCCUACCGACCGAUAGUGAACCAGUACCGUGAGGGAAAGGCGAAAAGAACCCCGGAGAGGGGAGUGAAAUAGAACCUGAAACCGCGUGCGUACAAGCAGUGGGAGCACCCUUGUGGUGUGACCGCGUACCUUUUGUAUCAUGGGUCAGCGAGUUACUUUUUGCGGCAAGCUUAACCGUUUAGGGGAGGCGUAGGGAAACCGAGUCUUAAUAGGGCGUUUAGUCGUAAGGAGUAGACCCGAAACCAGGCGAUCUAUCCAUGGCCAGGGUGAAGGCAGGGUAAUACCUGCUGGAGGCCCGAACCGGGUAAUGUUGAAAAAUUAUCGGAUGAGCUGUGGAUAGGAGUGAAAGGCUAACCAAGCCUGGAGAUAGCUGGUUCUCCCCGAAAGCUAUUUAGGUAGCGCCUCGUGUAUCACUCUCGGGGGUAGAGCACUGUUUCGGCUAGGGGGUCAUCCCGACUUACCAAACCGAUGCAAACUCCGAAUACCGAGAAGUGCAAUCACGGGAGACACACGGCGGGUGCUAACGUCCGUCGUGGAGAGGGAAACAACCCAGACCGCCAGCUAAGGUCCCAAAAUCAAAGCUAAGUGGGAAACGAUGUGGGAAGGCAUAGACAGCCAGGAGGUUGGCUUAGAAGCAGCCAUCCUUUAAAGAAAGCGUAACAGCUCACUGGUCUAGUCGGCCCGCGCGGAAGAUUUACCGGGGCUCAAGCUUUGUACCGAAGCUGCGGACGCAUACUUGUAUGCGUGGUAGGGGAGCGUUCUGUACGCUCGAUGAAGGUGUGUCGUGAGGCAUGCUGGAGGUAUCAGAAGUGCGAAUGCUGACAUGAGUAACGAUAAUGUGGGUGAAAAACCUACACGCCGAAAACCCAAGGGUUCCUGCGCAACGCUAAUCGGCGCAGGGUGAGUCGGCCCCUAAGGCGAGACCGAAAGGUGUAGUCGAUGGGAAACAGGUUAAUAUUCCUGUACUGCAAGUUACUGCGAUGAGGGGACGGAGAAGGCUAGGCUUACCGGGCGUUGGUUGUCCCGGGGAAAGUAUGUAGGCGGAGAUCUUAGGAAAAUCCGGGAUCUUGUUAACGUCGAGAUACGAGACCAUCGACCUUUGUGUCGAGAAGUAGCUGGUGCCAUGCUUCCAGGAAAAGCCUCUAAGCUUCAGGUAACUUGUAACCGUACCGUAAACCGACACAGGUGGGUAAGGAGAGAAUCCUAAGGCGCUUGAGAGAACUCGGGUGAAGGAACUAGGCAAAUUGGUACCGUAACUUCGGGAGAAGGUACGCCCCUGUUGGUGAUGAGACUUGCUCUCUAAGCUGGUGGGGGUUGCAGUGACCAGGUGGCUGCGACUGUUUACUAAAAACACAGCACUAUGCAAACACGUAAGUGGACGUAUAUGGUGUGACGCCUGCCCGGUGCCGGAAGGUUAAUUGAUGAGGUUAGUCCUCGGACGAAGCUUUUGAUCGAAGCCCCGGUAAACGGCGGCCGUAACUAUAGAUUGUUGUAGUUACGGAAAUAAACCUGGCUAUAUGCUGGAAACUCCGGUGUAUCCCUAAGUACUCGCCGAUUAAUAUUGGCAGUGACAAACUUCAGGGUGCGGACAAUCAGCAGGAAAGGUUCCUGAAAUGACCACACUAGACAUAAAGAAGAUUCCCGAUCACAUUGGCUAUUACCUUGCAGGUUUUGCUGAUGGGGAAGGAAGCUUCAACCUGUCUUUUCGGAAACGCAAAGAUUAUUCACAACCGUGGAAAAUCUCGCUGUGUUUCAACGUGUCUCAACGUGACAAAGUCAUUUUGGCUUUGUACAAGAGGCACCUGAAAUGCGGCACAUUGCGAACCAGGAAAGACGGAGUCUGGUAUUACGAGGUCAAUAACUUCAAAGCGAUAAACGAGAAUAUCAUUCCGUUCUUUAACCGCUUCGGCUUUCUGUCAGCCAAGAAGAAGCGUGAUUUUGCGAAGUUCAAGCAAAUCGCGAAUCUGAUAACUGACGGGGAGCAUUUGAAUCGGAAGGGAAUUGAAAGAAUUCUCGAAAUUCGCAAAGCCAUGAAUGAUGGAGGUGCUGGAAGACGAAAGUAUUCCGAUGCUGAAAUCAUGAAGGUGAUGAAAUCAGGAAAAUCCUCAGAGACUACACGCCAGGCACUUUCGCAUCGUUAAACCGAUGCCGUCUGAUGCUAAAAGUGAAGAUAUAGUCCGAUCUGCAUAGCGAUAUGCAGGGUUUAAGUUCCUUUAAUUUGAUUCGUGUAUUUAAGCUACCGCUUAAACCUAACCAGCUUUUGAAUUUAUGGGCUGGGGAUAACACAGGAUGAACGGUGCUAAGAUAGCGAUAUUCCUUGUCGCGUUAGUUCCGACCUGCACUAAUGGCUUAACGAUGGCCACACUGUCUCCACCCG